UAAUUGUCCAAAUGAUAUAUGCCCAUUGUGUGACUUAGUGUUAUAUAUACAGCACCCAGGUUAUCAUAAUGGGGACCCUCCUGAAAUAUGUCAACCCCUAGCUGAUUCCAUUUAGAUGUGGAAUUUUAAAAAGGAGUAUUUUUGAGUAAUAUGAUUAAUAUAUUCUGCUCAUGAAACAUCUUCACUGUUUUUGUUUUUUAUCAUUUCAGCUGGAAAAAACAGUUCCUUGAUUAUGAAUGUUAUUCAGCAUUAGUGUCAAAUGUUAAUUAAAUAAAUUCAAGCUAUUUAAGAUGCUGUAUGAUGGAUGCUUAAAAUCCAUACUUUUAAUGUAUUUGGUUCUGACUUCCCAGUUCUGAUUCUUUUUUCUUUUUGCUAAACAGACACUCAAAUGGGAACCAAGGCUCUCACCUUAAUGUCAGACCUGGAGAAUGAAACCAAAUGCAGAUGGAAUGGGAAAUUCAUCAACUGAGAAAAACAUUUUUGCAUCAUUCAUGAGUGUGGAUUUUCUAAGCUUACUGGAUGUACUGUGGUUAUUAAAGUGGCCUGCCAGAAUCAUGCACUGUAUGUUUGAAUGUUGACAGAGAAGGCAUUGUUACAAGAGGCUGUCUGAACACAAACAGAAAUUACUAACUAAUAAACUGUUGAAAUAGGAAGUACAUUUAUUUUCAAUUUAUAUUGCAGAGGUGAUGUGAAGACAAAAAUUGUAUUAUUAUUUUGGCUAUCGAACCCAUUGAUUUAAAAACACAUUCGAACUUCGAGAAUGAAGAAUGUUAGUAGCAUAUCUCUCCCAUAGAUCUAGUUGCUAUAAAGGUCUUACUUUUUCCUUCUUCUCUUCUAUUGGUGACAUCAUAGUUUCCUCAAUAUUUUUGCCAAGAAAUUCCCAUCUCAGGACUUUUAACUGCUAUUCUCUUUCCCUAGGAUAUUCUUUUGUUUUGUUUUCUUUUGAGAUGGAGUCUCGC
rnacentral:lncRNA from 10 species